GGCGAUGUCCGAAUGGGGAAACCCAGUGCAAUUCGUUGCACUAUCGUUAACUGAAUACAUAGGUUAACGAGGCGAACCGGGGGAACUGAAACAUCUAAGUACCCCGAGGAAAAGAAAUCAACCGAGAUUCCCCCAGUAGCGGCGAGCGAACGGGGAGCAGCCCAGAGUCUGAAUCAGCUUGUGUGUUAGUGGAACGGUCUGGAAAGUCCGACGGUACAGGGUGAUAGUCCCGUACACCAAAAUGCACAGGUUGUGAACUCGAAGAGUAGGGCGGGACACGUGGUAUCCUGUCUGAAUAUGGGGGGACCAUCCUCCAAGGCUAAAUACUCCUGACUGACCGAUAGUGAACCAGUACCGUGAGGGAAAGGCGAAAAGAACCCCGGCGAGGGGAGUGAAAAAGAACCUGAAACCGUGUACGUACAAGCAGUGGGAGCACCUUCGGGUGUGACUGCGUACCUUUUGUAUAAUGGGUCAGCGACUUAUAUUCUGUAGCAAGGUUAACCGUAUAGGGGAGCCGCAGGGAAACCGAGUCUUAACUGGGCGUUAAGUUGCAGGGUAUAGACCCGAAACCCGGUGAUCUAGCCAUGGGCAGGUUGAAGGUUGGGUAACACUAACUGGAGGACCGAACCGACUAAUGUUGAAAAAUUAGCGGAUGACUUGUGGCUGGGGGUGAAAGGCCAAUCAAACCGGGAGAUAGCUGGUUCUCCCCGAAAGCUAUUUAGGUAGCGCCUCGUGAACUCAUCUUCGGGGGUAGAGCACUGUUUCGGCUAGGGGGUCAUCCCGACUUACCAACCCGAUGCAAACUACGAAUACCGAAGAAUGUUAUCACGGGAGACACACGGCGGGUGCUAACGUCCGUCGUGAAGAGGGAAACAACCCAGACCGCCAGCUAAGGUCCCAAAGUCAUGGUUAAGUGGGAAACGAUGUGGGAAGGCACAGACAGCCAGGAUGUUGGCUUAGAAGCAGCCAUCAUUUAAAGAAAGCGUAAUAGCUCACUGGUCGAGUCGGCCUGCGCGGAAGAUGUAACGGGGCUAAACCAUGCACCGAAGCUGCGGCAGCGACACUAUGUGUUGUUGGGUAGGGGAGCGUUCUGUAAGCCUGCGAAGGUGUGCUGUGAGGCAUGCUGGAGGUAUCAGAAGUGCGAAUGCUGACAUAAGUAACGAUAAAGCGGGUGAAAAGCCCGCUCGCCGGAAGACCAAGGGUUCCUGUCCAACGUUAAUCGGGGCAGGGUGAGUCGACCCCUAAGGCGAGGCCGAAAGGCGUAGUCGAUGGGAAACAGGUUAAUAUUCCUGUACUUGGUGUUACUGCGAAGGGGGGACGGAGAAGGCUAUGUUAGCCGGGCGACGGUUGUCCCGGUUUAAGCAUGUAGGCUGAUUGUCCAGGCAAAUCCGGAUAAUCAAGGCUGAGGUGUGAUGACGAGGCACUACGGUGCUGAAGUAACAAAUGCCCUGCUUCCAGGAAAAGCCUCUAAGCAUCAGGUAACAUCAAAUCGUACCCCAAACCGACACAGGUGGUCAGGUAGAGAAUACCAAGGCGCUUGAGAGAACUCGGGUGAAGGAACUAGGCAAAAUGGUGCCGUAACUUCGGGAGAAGGCACGCUGGUGUGUAGGUGAAGUCCCUGCGGAUGGAGCUGAGACCAGUCGAAGAUACCAGCUGGCUGCAACUGUUUAUUAAAAACACAGCACUGUGCAAACACGAAAGUGGACGUAUACGGUGUGACGCCUGCCCGGUGCCGGAAGGUUAAUUGAUGGGGUUAUCCGUAAGGAGAAGCUCUUGAUCGAAGCCCCGGUAAACGGCGGCCGUAACUAUAACGGUCCUAAGGUAGCGAAAUUCCUUGUCGGGUAAGUUCCGACCUGCACGAAUGGCGUAAUGAUGGCCAGGCUGUCUCCACCCGAGACUCAGUGAAAUUGAACUCGCUGUGAAGAUGCAGUGUACCCGCGGCAAGACGGAAAGACCCCGUGAACCUUUACUAUAGCUUGACACUGAACAUUGAGCCUUGAUGUGUAGGAUAGGUGGGAGGCUUUGAAGCGUGGACGCCAGUCUGCGUGGAGCCAACCUUGAAAUACCACCCUUUAAUGUUUGAUGUUCUAACGUUGGCCCCUGACCGGGGUUGCGGACAGUGUCUGGUGGGUAGUUUGACUGGGGCGGUCUCCUCCCAAAGCGUAACGGAGGAGCACGAAGGUUAGCUAAUCCUGGUCGGACAUCAGGAGGUUAGUGCAAUGGCAUAAGCUAGCUUGACUGCGAGCGUGACGGCGCGAGCAGGUGCGAAAGCAGGUCAUAGUGAUCCGGUGGUUCUGAAUGGAAGGGCCAUCGCUCAACGGAUAAAAGGUACUCCGGGGAUAACAGGCUGAUACCGCCCAAGAGUUCAUAUCGACGGCGGUGUUUGGCACCUCGAUGUCGGCUCAUCACAUCCUGGGGCUGAAGUAGGUCCCAAGGGUAUGGCUGUUCGCCAUUUAAAGUGGUACGCGAGCUGGGUUUAGAACGUCGUGAGACAGUUCGGUCCCUAUCUGCCGUGGGCGCUGGAGAAUUGAGGGGGGCUGCUCCUAGUACGAGAGGACCGGAGUGGACGCAUCACUGGUGUUCGGGUUGUCAUGCCAAUGGCACUGCCCGGUAGCUAAAUGCGGAAGAGAUAAGUGCUGAAAGCAUCUAAGCACGAAACUUGCCCCGAGAUGAGUUCUCCCUGAGACUUUAAGUCUCCUGAAGGAACGUUAAAGACGAUGACGUUGAUAGGCCGGGUGUGUAAGCGCAGCGAUGCGUUGAGCUAACCGGUACUAAUGAACCGUGAGGCUUAACCUU
rnacentral:rRNA from 1 species